rnacentral:rRNA from 1 species
UCAACAGAGGGAUGCAAAACUGCGAAGUGGAGCGAACCCCCAAAAGCCGUCUCAGUUCGGAUCGCAGGCUGCAACCCGCCUGCGUGAAGUCGGAAUCGCUAGUAAUCGCGGAUCAGCAUGCCGCGGUGAAUACGUUCCCGGGCCUUGUACACACCGCCCGUCACACCAUGGGAGUCGGUAACACCCGAAGUCGGUAGCCUAACCGUAAGGAGGGCGCCGCCGAAGGUGGGAUUGAUGACUGGGGUGAAGUCGUAACAAGGUACC